UUUCCUUUCUCCUCGGCCAUCUGAGGUGACGCUAGUUUUAGCAGCAAAGCGUCCCUCCGCUUCUACCUCCUUUAGUCCCUCCUACCCCCAUCUCCUCACCGCCAUCCUCCCCAACAGAGCCCGCGUCUGGGCUGUGCAGCGAGAGGGGGAGGUUUUGCGGCUGAGUGCCCCUAGGGUCCGGGAUCGCAGAGGCCGCCGCCGAGGCUCGACGGCCUCUGCGUGGUCCAAAGGUCCGGUUGGCAGCUGGUGGGCACGGGCAGGAUCCGAGGGCCUGUGAUGUCCUUCCUGCCGCCGCCGCCGCCCCAUUCCGCCGCGCACUAGCCCCAGGGGCGCCGGCCGCGCGGAGCAGCGCAAUUUCACCCCGGCUCCCGGCUUCUUGGAGGGUCGCGUAUCCCAGGGCUAUGACUCAGGCGCCCACUUGAUCGCAGAGGUGGCGUGGAGCCCGGCGAGCCGAUGACGGACCCUUUCCUCCUGUCUUCAAUGCCUCAGCGGAAGAUCCCCAAGGGUUGGAGAGAGGAGGGCUGCUGCUGGACGUCCUCCCGGGGAGGCUGCUCCGACCUGCUGCUCGUGGUGUAUGAAACUGGGGACUGAGCGAGCCCCAGCCGCCGCCGCCGCCGCCGCCGCCGCCGCCGCCCGCUCCGUCGCUGCCGUCGGUCUGGACUGGCCCCGGCCUCGCUGCGCC
rnacentral:lncRNA from 1 species